GUUGACGUCGCGAAUAACCGCAGCCGCUAGGUUUUAGCGCACGCGUCGGCAAUCGACAUAAGGAACUACCCCUUUAUUCUCCCCUUAUCUCCUCUUGCCGUUCAUUUGCGUCAUUUCUGCCGCCGCACACCAGCCAAUUUAGGACGUUCAGGGACCGGACCAACUGGAGCGUUGAUGGAAGAUGAUGCAAUUAUGAAGGGAGACAAACUUAUAUUGAGGGGGUUGAAGUUCCAUGGAUAUCAUGGGGUGAAGGCAGAAGAAAGGAAGCUGGGUCAGAAGUUCUUGGUGGAUGUUGAUGCAUGGAUGGACCUCCUGCCUGCUGGUAAAUCUGAUAAUUUGUCAGAUACUGUGAGUUACACUGAUAUUUACCGAAUAGUAAAAGAAACUGUGGAAGGGCCUGCUCAGAAUCUUCUGGAGUCGGUGGCUCAACUCAUUGCGUCUACCACUUUUACAAAGCAUCCCCAGAUAUCGGCUGUUCGUGUGAAAGUUGGAAAACCUCAUGUGGCUGUUCCUGGUUCUGUUGACUACUUGGGCGUUGAGAUUCUCAGGCACCGAAGUGUUGACAUACCAAACCGUGCUGCUUAGUCAAGAUGCUUUGAAAUAAGGGUUCUUCUAUUACCUGAUGAUACUGUCCUUGCGGCUCGCUUGACUGUCAUUUGCAGCGGCAACAAUGCAUUCGACUCGCAUGCCACGAUCUAAUGCAGCAACCAAGUUGACCUUCGUAAUCCGAAGGUCAACCUUGUAAGGAAAAACACAGAUGUCUCUCCCAGCCCACCGCUUCUCCCACAAAACAGAGCCAACUGAUGUUGAAGUUGGCAUUGGGGGCUUCAGUAAUAAGUAGGUGUGCUGCAAUGGCGCUUUACUCUGCAACUUGUUGUACUCUGGGAAGAUAUGGAAACGGUAGCCCAUAUCACGUCAAUCAAAGUGGAUGGCUUCCAGGAGGAAGUGCGAAUUCAUUUCGAGGGGGAGAGAUUCGCAGAGUCGGGGGAACCAGACUGGGGGGAGCGAUUGGCGAUUUGCAUUCAGAAGAUAAAAAAUAACCACGUUGAUAAUCUGUACAAGGUGUAAGGGCUUCUUAUAAAAUUUCUUGACGACCGAAACUCUGGAGUCUGAAUAUCAGAGAGUCGGAAAUUGAGGCAACCUGAUACACCAACGAAAGAAACCUCAUGACCAUAAUUAUUUAUUGGAAUUCUAAUUAAACUGAAACCUUAAUCGUUUAAAAUUUGAUUACCUAGUUUUCAAGUUUGAUUCAUUCUCCCAUUGCUCUUUGAAAAAGUUCAACAAUUACACCUUUUUCCUUGACAUACCAACGAAACAUCAUGUGAUUGUGCCACUUUUACAGAGAUCACUGUAGAAAUCCUUUUCCUCAUUCGAAAAAGAGCUCCAAAAUCAGAAUCAUUAGGGGCUGUUUAUGCACAAUCUGAUCAGCCUUCCCAAUCAGUGAUUUUUACCAGUGAACAUUCUUCAAUUCAGUCUGCUGGAGGCCUCCAUGGACAGAUAUCCCAUCAUAUCAUUGCAUGACUAGCAUUGAUACUUAUUCUUUCAUGUAUAAUCUCCUGUGCAGCGUAAUCGGGUGAAUGUGUAAAGUGGCUUCAAAUCUGUCAGAAAACUUCUACGAAAAAAGCCCGCUGCAGCUUCACAAGGACGACAGUUUGCUGCAACUUUUUCAAGCUUGGGGUACAGCACCAAGACUUCCAUGGUCAACCUACCCUACUAAAUGUUUAAACUAUGAUUAUUCAAUCAAAUGGAAACAAAAAUGGAUAAUAUAUCCAAAUAUGUAAUAAAUAAUAUGUUGUGUGAGGGUCAGUCAAGAAUUAUUUUGAA